GCCCCCCUAGCUCAGUCGGUAGAGCGUUUCCAUGGUAAGGAAAAGGUCACCGGUUCGAUUCCGGUGGGGGGCUC
rnacentral:tRNA from 1 species